GGGACGAAGGAAGCAUUCUGCAGUCGACGGUGAGGGGGCAACCCCUUGAGAGUGGCGAACGGGUGAGUAAUGUAUCGGAACGUGCCCAGUCGUGGGGGAUAACGUAGUGAAAAUUACGCUAAUACCGCAUACGAUCUACGGAUGAAAGCGGGGGAUCGCAAGACCUCGCGCGAUUGGAGCGGCCGAUAUCAGAUUAGGUAGUUGGUGGGGUAAAGGCUCACCAAGCCAACGAUCUGUAGCUGGUCUGAGAGGACGACCAGCCACACUGGAACUGAGACACGGUCCAGACUCCUACGGGAGGCAGCAGUGGGGAAUUUUGGACAAUGGACGCAAGUCUGAUCCAGCCAUUCCGCGUGCAGGACGAAGGCCUUCGGGUUGUAAACUGCUUUUGUACGGAACGAAAAAGCUCUUAUUAAUACUAGGAGUCCAUGACGGUACCGUAAGAAUAAGCACCGGCUAACUACGUGCCAGCAGCCGCGGUAAUACGUAGGGUGCAAGCGUUAAUCGGAAUUACUGGGCGUAAAGCGUGCGCAGGCGGUUAUAUAAGACAGAUGUGAAAUCCCCGAGCUUAACUUGGGAACUGCAUUUGUGACUGUAUAGCUAGAGUACGGCAGAGGGGGAUGGAAUUCCGCGUGUAGCAGUGAAAUGCGUAGAUAUGCGGAGGAACACCGAUGGCGAAGGCAAUCCCCUGGGCCUGUACUGACGCUCAUGCACGAAAGCGUGGGGAGCAAACAGGAUUAGAUACCCUGGUAGUCCACGCCCUAAACGAUGUCAACUGGUUGUUGGGUCUUCACUGACUCAGUAACGAAGCUAACGCGUGAAGUUGACCGCCUGGNGAGUACGGCCGC
rnacentral:rRNA from 1 species